ACUGGAACUUAAACAGUUAACCCCACACACAGUGGGUAUCAACAGGAAAGCUGGGAGGGAGUAGAGAGAGAGAGAGAGAAUUGCGUGCAGAGUGAAGUGUUGAGAAACAAAGUGAGCUGAGGAGCAGCGAGACACGACAGCUGUAAUACACCACAGACUAUUAAACCGCCGAUUCGGUCCUGCUUCUAAGAGCCGGCGGCACACGGAUGCCAGUCGAGCUUCAGGCGGCUCGCGGUCGCCGUAGCGGGCCGGGCAUCUCUUCUUUCCGAGGCAGAAGGCGUCGGCUUCAGUUCGGCCGGGCAGAUUUAAUAAAACAUGAGGCUUCCCUUCGUCAUGCGCAGUGUCUUGGCCUCGGAGAGGCAGCCCCUGUCACCGCACCUUGUUCUUUAAAGAGCUCGUGACAGCAGCCCGGUGGCGGAUGCCUGAGAGAGAGCGGAUCCCAAAAGGAGAAUGACGUACAGCCCAUCACACGCUUGGCCCUGUUGCCAAAACUGCACGAGUCAACAGUUCACCACCCUCUCUUUCUAGUGUAAAAAAUGUUUAAAUAUUUACAUAAGUGUAUCAUUUACCAUUUCACCCAGCAUAGCGAUGUCUUAUUUUAUCUAGAUAUUCCCUGGAUACAUUUCCUUGUAUUAGAUAUUUCCUAUCUUUUAUCUUUCUGCCCAUGACCUUGUUUAAUCUGCUAAACUUAGCCGAGAGAGAGAGAGAGCGAAACAGAGUCACAGUUUCUGUAAAGUCACCCUUAUGACCAGGCAAACAGUCACACCACACCUUCAACAGCUGCAGGACUAUAGACACGUGGAGCACCUGCACAAGCGCAAAGGACAGUGCAGACAAACCCCAGCUGCAGAACCAUAGACAUGUGGAGCACCUGCACAUGAGCAAAGGACAGUGCAGACAAACCCCAGCUGCAGGACCAUAGACAUGUGGAGCACCUGCACAUGCGCAAAGGACAGUGCAGACAAGCCCCAGCUGCAGAAUCUGUUUCUGACAAUGUUAGCGAGGGAGAUGAAAAGCUGAUUUUAUCAGCUACAGCCCAAACCACUGCGAGUUGUCUAGUGGGCAGAAGAGUGUAGAGCACAUAAGUUCUUCUUGCCUGACAGAAACACCUGAGGCAGACUGGAAGGUCUGAUUCUGAAGCAGAGGAACGUGGGCCUGGACUUGUAGCAGUGUAGAGAUGUGACAGAAAGGGGACAGUGCUGGGUAUCUCAGCUCUACCUACCAUCUCCCUGACCGCUAUGAGACGGCACUUUCCCUAUAAACGUACCACGUAUGGCACUUUUCUUGUGUCCCGGCUUGCAAUUAAUGCACGGCUUAUUAAAGUCACAAAUAAGCACAAAUACAAUGGUGUAAGGCCAGAAGAGCAGAAACUGAAAUUACCAGGCUGCAUAUACUGUAAGUCUGGCUGCAGCACAAGUUCAAGAGAUGGGGAAGACAGAUUGAAUGACCAUGAAAUAAAGAUGGACAGGACAGAUGGACGGCUCAGGAUAUAGAGACAAUGCAGGCCACACCCACACAGGUACAGAGAUCAGGUAAUGCUGCACCACACCCAUUUCAGGAAUGCCUUUAGGAAAAAUGGCAGCUUAAAGAUCAAACGCUUUCCCACGUACACCUGCCUAAUUGUUGUGCAUGUGACAUUUUUCUUAAAUUUUCCAUAUUCCAUGUAGCACCAAUCCCUUGAUAUACCAAGUUAUAUUUUCACAAAUAAAGUCUCAGAACAUACCCAAGGGUGAAUGUGGAA